AGUUGAUCCUGGCUCAGACGAACGCUGGCGGCAUGCCUAACACAUGCAAGUCGAACGAGACCUUCGGGUCUAGUGGCGCACGGGUGCGUAACGCGUGGGAAUCUGCCCUUAGGUUCGGAAUAACUUCGGGAAACUGAAGCUAAUACCGGAUGAUGACGUAAGUCCAAAGAUUUAUCGCCUAAGGAUGAGCCCGCGUUGGAUUAGCUAGUUGGUGAGGUAAAGGCUCACCAAGGCGACGAUCCAUAGCUGGUCUGAGAGGAUGAUCAGCCACACUGGGACUGAGACACGGCCCAGACUCCUACGGGAGGCAGCAGUGGGGAAUAUUGGACAAUGGGGCGAAAGCCUGAUCCAGCAAUGCCGCGUGAGUGAUGAAGGCCUUAGGGUUGUAAAGCUCUUUUACCCGAGAUGAUAAUGACAGUAUCGGGAGAAUAAGCUCCGGCUAACUCCGUG
rnacentral:rRNA from 1 species